AAUGAACUCUUGCGGUAGGCCUAACACAUGCAAGUCGAACGGCAGCACCGUGAUGUCUUGCUCUUCCGGCUUGCGAGUAGCGGACGGUUCACGACUACAUCGCUCUCUACUUUUUCGUGGGGAAUAACAAAGGGAGACUUACCCUACUACCCCAUACGGCCUCCGCCUGAAAGCAUUCUAUCUUCCCUUCUUUCACGCUUGCAUGAUCCGAUGUCGUAUUAGCUAGUUGGCUGGUUAAAGGCCCACCAAGGCGACGAUCCGUAGCUGGUCUGAGAGGAUGAGCAGCCACACUGGAACUGAGACACGGUCCAGACUCCUACGGGAGGCAGCAGUGGGGAAUAUUGGACAAUGGGCGCAAGCCUGAUCCAGUCAUACCGCGUGUGUGAAGAAGGCAUUCGGGUUGUAAAGCCCGUUUGUUGGGAAAGAAAAGCAGCAGGUGAAUACCCCGCUGUUCUGACGGUACCAGAAGAAUAAGCACCGGCUAACUUCGUG
rnacentral:rRNA from 1 species